GCAGGCGGUCUGUCAAGUCGGAUGUGAAAUCCCCGGGCUCAACCUGGGAACUGCAUUCGAAACUGGCAGGCUUGAGUCUUGUAGAGGGGGGUAGAAUUCCAGGUGUAGCGGUGAAAUGCGUAGAGAUCUGGAGGAAUACCGGUGGCGAAGGCGGCCCCCUGGACAAAGACUGACGCUCAGGUGCGAAAGCGUGGGGAGCAAACAGGAUUAGAUACCCUGGUAGUCCACGCCGUAAACGAUGUCUACUUGGAGGUUGUGCCCUUGAGGCGUGGCUUCCGGAGCUAACGCGUUAAGUAGACCGCCUGG
rnacentral:rRNA from 1 species